UACGUAGGGGGCAAGCGUUGUCCGGAAUCAUUGGGCGUAAAGCGCGUGUAGGCGGUUCGGUAAGUCGGCUGUGAAAGUCCAGGGCUCAACCCUGGGAUGCCGGUCGAUACUGCCGUGACUAGAGUUCGGUAGAGGAGUGUGGAAUUCCUGGUGGAGCGGUGAAAUGCGCAGAGAUCAGGAGGAACACCCGUAGCGAAGGCGGCACUCUGGGCCGAUACUGACACUGAGGAGCGAAAGCGUGGGGAGCGAACAGG
rnacentral:rRNA from 1 species